CAGCAGCCACGGGAAUACGUAGGUGGCAAGCGUUAUCCGGAAUUAUUGGGCGUAAAGCGCGCGUAGGCGGUUUUUUAAGUCUGAUGUGAAAGCCCACGGCUCAACCGUGGAGGGUCAUUGGAAACUGGGAAACUUGAGUGCAGAAGAGGAGAGUGGAAUUCCACGUGUAGCGGUGAAAUGCGUAGAGAUGUGGAGGAACACCAGUGGCGAAGGCGACUCUCUGGUCUGUAACUGACGCUGAGGAGCGAAAGCGUGGGGAGCGAACAGGAUUAGAUACCCGUGUAGUCCCUGUCUCUUAUAC
rnacentral:rRNA from 1 species